UAAAGACCAUGAACUAAAAUCGGCGUAGAAGAGGAAUUGAAACCAGACGAUUAAUUGAGCGGCCUCAGAUAACUCACCACACGUGUUGCGAACCGCCAGACAACCGAAGUCUGAAGCUCUUCUCUCUCUCUCUCUCUCUCUCUCUCUGAAAGUCAGUCACUUUGUCUAAAGGUUGGUGGCAAAAGCAGAGGAAACGAGCAGAGAAAAAACAUGAACUCAACGUCAUCAUCACCAAACCCUCCACCGCCUCCUCCGCCACAGUCUUCUAUGUCAACCACGUCCGCAGAUGGGUCCGGAAAGAAAGUCAGGAAACCUUACACCAUCACCAAAUCACGUGAGAGCUGGACUGAAGAAGAACACGACAAGUUCAUUGAAGCUCUUCAACUGUUUGACCGUGACUGGAAAAAAAUUGAAGAUUUUGUCGGUUCAAAGACAGUUAUCCAGAUUCGAAGUCAUGCCCAGAAAUACUUUUUGAAGGUCCAAAAGAAUGGGACAAUUGCACAUGUGCCUCCUCCUCGCCCCAAGCGCAAAGCUUCUCACCCUUACCCACAAAAAGCGUCUAAAAAUGUUUUAGUGCCAUUACAAGCAUCCAUGGCUUAUCCCUCUUCCAUGAAUACCAUUGCACCUGGAUUUGCUCCCUGGGAUGAAGCUUCCAUGUUGGUAAACACUGCCUCAAGCAAAAUCAUGCCACCGCAAGAUGACUUUACACGUCUUGGAGGAGCUGAAGGCAUGGCUGAUAUUGGGUCAAAGGGCGUAGCAAGGAUUAAUAACAGUGGUGUUAGCGGCAUUGGAAGUUCAAGUAGGACAAUACCUAGUUCUGAUAUGCCAAACCAAGGGAAACAAACUGCAAUGCUUCAUGGUAUACCUGAUUUUUCUGAAGUUUAUGGCUUCAUUGGGAGUGUCUUCGAUCCAGACACGCAAGGGCAUGUGCAAAAACUCAAAGAGAUGGAUCCCAUAAAUUUUGAAACUGUUUUGUUAUUGAUGAGAAACCUCACUGUUAACUUGUGUAGUCCUGACUUUGAGCCAAUUAAAACCAGCAAAACACUUGAAGGACGGUCAUGUCCUCAUAUGAUGUCAACACGAAAACAUUAGGCGAUUCCGCGGGAAUUAUUCCCCAGAACCAAAUGAAUGAUCUAUUAUUGUGUUAAGCUGUUUAUUAUGUAGGAUUUGCCGACAGCAUGCUUGGAGGUUUUGCUAGGUGAAGGAGUUGCAGCCACCAGCUGGAGAAAAUGUUAGAAAUGAUGAGUGGAAGAAUGGUUUUCUACUACAGCCUUUCAAGCUCCUUGAUAUCCAGCGGGAUCAGGCCGAAUGGUGGUGACCCUGUUUUGACCUAUCAACCAGAUAAUUGUGUAUGUUCUUGUGAGGUCUGUUGAUUAGCUGUUUUACCUAAUUGCCAAGUAUGCCUCACAAUAGAAGUUAAACUACGAGAAUUUGAAAACAUAUUUGUAAUGAGGAUCAUGAUUCUGCCUUGUCGAUGUAGCUAGAAGGAUCUCCAUGGCAACAUUUACAUGUUAGAUUUCUUAUCUAUUUUCAUAUUGGUUUAUUAACACAUAUUCUACAAGAACAUUUGAUGAGUCAAAGUGGUUGCUGAUAUCCAAGACAUUCAUGAGCUCAUUAGAGAUCACCAUGUUCAACUGGCAGAUUGAUUAGCCAACUAUAGCAGACUUCUUUGGAGGAUUUCACUCGUCUUUUCCCUACUCCCCGGACCGUGUCUUUUGCCUUUUUAGCAGGUAGCUCGGAUCCUGCAUGGUUGAUGCCAAGCUGGGGGGUUUCUUUUACAGGUUCUUUGUACCAAUUAUAAGUUAUUAUUAUCAAACCAGUUGUAUGAAAACAACAAAAUCAUAUACCUAAUUUUCUCACUGGAAGUCUCUU